rnacentral:ncRNA from 1 species
GGCGUACCCAAGGGGUGGCGUUAGCCUGAGAUGCUGCAUUGGCAGUAAACCCUGGAACCUGAUCCGGUUAAUACCGGCGUAGGAAUGGGGUGCGGCGUGGCC